rnacentral:rRNA from 1 species
GAUGAACGCUGGCGGCGUGCCUAACACAUGCAAGUCGAGCGAUUCUCUUCGGAGAAGAGCGGCGGACGGGUGAGUAACGCGUGGGUAACCUGCCCUGUACACACGGAUAACAUACCGAAAGGUAUGCUAAUACGGGAUAACGUAAGAAAUUCGCAUGUUUUUCUUAUCAAAGCUCCGGCGGUACAGGAUGGACCCGCGUCUGAUUAGCUAGUUGGUGAGGUAACGGCUCACCAAGGCAACGAUCAGUAGCCGACCUGAGAGGGAGAUCGGCCACAUUGGAACUGAGACACGGUCCAAACUCCUACGGGAGGCAGCAGUGGGGAAUAUUGCACAAUGGGCGAAAGCCUGAUGCAGCAACGCCGCGUGAGCGAUGAAGGCCUUCGGGUCGUAAAGCUCUGUCCUCAAGGAAGAUAAUGACGGUACUUGAGGAGGAAGCCCCGGCUAACUACGUGCCAGCAGCCGCAGUAACAC